CCGUCUCCCAGUUUAGCCAUCGGGUUUCCAUCAGGGAAAGGGUCCUGGAUGUGAGAUGUCAUGGGAUAUUGAGGCAUUCAUAUUGAGAUAGCGUGGGAACAGGCACGGUAAAUUUAAAUAUACUGCCCUAGGAGGUAAUGUCAUCCCAACAGCUUUCUCUCAUUCUGUUGCUGCCGUUUGGCUGUGAGUUCUUCAAGAGAUACAUCGUGUUGGUCUGUGUUUUGUGAGAUGCUGAACAAAGCAGCAGCUAAGAUGAAAGACACAAGAAUCUGAUAAUUAAUCCCUUCAGUUCAAAAUAUUUGCAAAUACCUGCCUCACUGUGAGAUUUAGGAGAGCCUCAGGGAUGACCUAACUCAUACCAGGAGAAAGCAGCUUGGGGAUGACCUAACUCAGGCCAGCAAAAGCAGCUCCUCUCACCCACCUGCCGUGAUCCCGUAAUACCUUUACACUGGCGGGGUGUGAGGCACUGUGAAGUUACCGUUAAUGCCAAAGUUACCCCUGGCAUGAGGAAAUCUUCAGCUGUUGCCUUGAGCUCUCUGCAUGGCACGGACUGAGUGGGGAUGGGCUGCAAGUCACUGGACCCACUGCUUUCUCUGAGAGUCUGAUCCAAUGUUUAUUAACAUCAGUGUUUGUCCUUUUCUAGAUUUUCAGUGAGUUUCAGUGGGAUUUUUAGUGGCUUAUGUUGCUGUAUGCCAGACUGGGUUUUUAUUAUCUUUCUACAGUUUGGAUAAUGUGUGUUUGCAUGCAAUUCCAAGCAAAUUCAGCACAGUUUAGUAGUCUAGCAAGUAGUUAACUGGAAUCUUAGUGUUACUGGUGAUGUCAGUAAUUGGUUACUGAAGCUUUCAGAGACCCAUCUUGUGCGACUUCUUACUGGGAGACUGCUGGAAAUUUAGGAUCCUGCUUUAGGAGGAUUGUCUGUCUCUUGGGAGGAUUUUAGAGCUCCUUUUGCUCAUUUAAGACACUUUUACACUUUACCCAUGCUAGAGGAGUCAGGCUGUCUAGCUUACGGGGCAGUAUGCACGCUUUGGCUGAGCAUUAGCUCCCCAACGGGAGGAGAGCUGGGUGUAUGUCAGUGGUCCCUGUUCCCAGAGUCCUCACUUCCUGAGCACUGACUUUUUUUUUGAAAGAAACUCGAGCUGACAGCUGAAAGGAAACUCCAGAGUACACCCACAGGUACCGCAGUUUGGGUGAGUCGGGGGACCAGGGCGGCGGGGUGCACCCUGGGGCACACCUGCUCUGCAGCCCAGGCACAUCCAUAGGGCAUUACUCUACCUGGAGGAAAAGCUGACUGUGUGACCAAAACUUGGGGGUGCAGUUUAGGUGUAUGUUAGAUGUAAUGGGAUCCAAGUGAAAUGGUGUUGUGGAUCAAUCCCCUGUGGACAGAAUGGGAGCAAAAUUCUCCCCUCUGUUCUCCGUACAUCCUCUUAACUGAACUUAAUGCUCUUUAAGAAGAGCAUGAAUCAUGAGAAACGCAGCCUGUGUCCUGGAGUAGUUAUGCAGGAUGAAAACAUACUGUUAAUUUGUAACUAAGAAAUGCAGUGUUCUUGAGAAAGGUUGAAUUAAAAAUUUAAACUGAAGGUUUUUCUUGUUUGAGCUCAGAGCACAGCCCUACCCUGUCCAGUCUGUGUGCUGCAAGGGUCUACCACACCAUAACAGUUGCUUGAAAAAGUAUUCAUUUUAGCAAAGUUAUGGAAUACAAAGGUGUUUAAUAAGUAGCUUCAACCUUUUGUAAAUAAUGGAAAAACUUGUGUUAUCUCAUUCCAAAUUCUUUUAUUACAGUUAUAGGUCAACCCACACAACUUCAAAGCCAUGAAAUUACAUGGUGAGAGUCUCAAAGUGUAAUAUGGAAAAAACAAUAAAUAAAGCAAACAAUAUUAUAAGGUGAACAGGUUUAUCUUUCGACUC